UACGAAGGGGGCUAGCGUUGUUCGGAAUUACUGGGCGUAAAGCGUGCGCAGGCGGCUUCUCAAGUCAGGAGUGAAAGCCCAGAGCUCAACUCUGGAAUUGCCUUUGAGACUGAGUGGCUUGAGUACGAGAGAGGUGAGUGGAAUUCCCAGUGUAGAGGUGAAAUUCGUAGAUAUUGGGAAGAACACCGGUGGCGAAGGCGGCUCACUGGCUCGUAACUGACGCUCAUGCACGACAGCGUGGGGAUCAAACAGG
rnacentral:rRNA from 1 species